rnacentral:rRNA from 1 species
UUAAGCGACUAAGCGUACACGGUGGAUGCCCUGGCAGUCAGAGGCGAUGAAGGACGUGCUAAUCUGCGAUAAGCGUCGGUAAGGUGAUAUGAACCGUUAUAACCGGCGAUUUCCGAAUGGGGAAACCCAGUGUGAUUCGUCACACUAUCAUUAACUGAAUCCAUAGGUUAAUGAGGCGAACCGGGGGAACUGAAACAUCUAAGUACCCCGAGGAAAAGAAAUCAACCGAGAUUCCCCCAGUAGCGGCGAGCGAACGGGGAGCAGCCCAGAGCCUGAAUCAGUGUGUGUGUUAGUGGAAGCGUCUGGAAAGGCGCGCGAUACAGGGUGACAGCCCCGUACACAAAAAUGCACAUGCUGUGAGCUCGAUGAGUAGGGCGGGACACGUGGUAUCCUGUCUGAAUAUGGGGGGACCAUCCUCCAAGGCUAAAUACUCCUGACUGACCGAUAGUGAACCAGUACCGUGAGGGAAAGGCGAAAAGAACCCCGGCGAGGGGAGUGAAAAAGAACCUGAAACCGUGUACGUACAAGCAGUGGGAGCCUCUUUAUGGGGUGACUGCGUACCUUUUGUAUAAUGGGUCAGCGACUUAUAUUCUGUAGCAAGGUUAACCGAAUAGGGGAGCCGAAGGGAAACCGAGUCUUAACUGGGCGUUAAGUUGCAGGGUAUAGACCCGAAACCCGGUGAUCUAGCCAUGGGCAGGUUGAAGGUUGGGUAACACUAACUGGAGGACCGAACCGACUAAUGUUGAAAAAUUAGCGGAUGACUUGUGGCUGGGGGUGAAAGGCCAAUCAAACCGGGAGAUAGCUGGUUCUCCCCGAAAGCUAUUUAGGUAGCGCCUCGUGAAUUCAUCUCCGGGGGUAGAGCACUGUUUCGGCAAGGGGGUCAUCCCGACUUACCAACCCGAUGCAAACUGCGAAUACCGGAGAAUGUUAUCACGGGAGACACACGGCGGGUGCUAACGUCCGUCGUGAAGAGGGAAACAACCCAGACCGCCAGCUAAGGUCCCAAAGUCAUGGUUAAGUGGGAAACGAUGUGGGAAGGCCCAGACAGCCAGGAUGUUGGCUUAGAAGCAGCCAUCAUUUAAAGAAAGCGUAAUAGCUCACUGGUCGAGUCGGCCUGCGCGGAAGAUGUAACGGGGCUAAACCAUGCACCGAAGCUGCGGCAGCGACGCUUAUGCGUUGUUGGGUAGGGGAGCGUUCUGUAAGCCUGCGAAGGUGUACUGUGAGGUAUGCUGGAGGUAUCAGAAGUGCGAAUGCUGACAUAAGUAACGAUAAAGCGGGUGAAAAGCCCGCUCGCCGGAAGACCAAGGGUUCCUGUCCAACGUUAAUCGGGGCAGGGUGAGUCGACCCCUAAGGCGAGGCCGAAAGGCGUAGUCGAUGGGAAACAGGUUAAUAUUCCUGUACUUGGUGUUACUGCGAAGGGGGGACGGAGAAGGCUAUGUUGGCCGGGCGACGGUUGUCCCGGUUUAAGCGUGUAGGCUGGUUUUCCAGGCAAAUCCGGAAAAUCAAGGCUGAGGCGUGAUGACGAGGCACUACGGUGCUGAAGCAACAAAUGCCCUGCUUCCAGGAAAAGCCUCUAAGCAUCAGGUAACAUCAAAUCGUACCCCAAACCGACACAGGUGGUCAGGUAGAGAAUACCAAGGCGCUUGAGAGAACUCGGGUGAAGGAACUAGGCAAAAUGGUGCCGUAACUUCGGGAGAAGGCACGCUGAUAUGUAGGUGAAGUCCCUUGCGGAUGGAGCUGAAAUCAGUCGAAGAUACCAGCUGGCUGCAACUGUUUAUUAAAAACACAGCACUGUGCAAACACGAAAGUGGACGUAUACGGUGUGACGCCUGCCCGGUGCCGGAAGGUUAAUUGAUGGGGUUAGCGGUAACGCGAAGCUCUUGAUCGAAGCCCCGGUAAACGGCGGCCGUAACUAUAACGGUCCUAAGGUAGCGAAAUUCCUUGUCGGG